rnacentral:rRNA from 1 species
UGCGCAGGCGGGCAUUUAAGUCAGUGGUGAAAUACUGCCGCUUAACGGUAGAACUGCCAUUGAUACUGAAUGUCUUGAGUAAGGUUGAGGUAGGCGGAAUGUGUAGUGUAGCGGUGAAAUGCAUAGAUAUUACACAGAACUCCGAUUGCGAAGGCAGCUUACUAAGCCAUAACUGACGCUGAGGCACGAAAGCGUGGGGAGCGAACAGGAUUAGAUACCCUGGUAGUCC